UGGGGAAUAUUGCACAAUGGGGGAAACCCUGAUGCAGCGACGCCGCGUGAAGGAUGAAGUAUUUCGGUACGUAAACUUCUAUCAGCAAGGAAGAUAAUGACGGUACUUGACUAAGAAGCCCCGGCUAACUACGUGCCAGCAGCCGCGGUAAUACGUAGGGGGCAAGCGUUAUCCGGAUUUACUGGGUGUAAAGGGAGCGUAGGUGGUAAGGUAAGUCAGAUGUGAAAGGCCAGGGCUCAACCCUGGGACUGCAUUUGAAACUAUCUUACUAGAGUGCAGGAGAGGUAAGUGGAAUUCCUAGUGUAGCGGUGAAAUGCGUAGAUAUUAGGAGGAACACCAGUGGCGAAGGCGGCUUACUGGACUGUAACUGACACUGAGGCUCGAAAGCGUGGGGAGCAAACAGG
rnacentral:rRNA from 2 species